AGGGAAUAUUGCACAAUGGAGGAAACUCUGAUGCAGCCAUGCCGCGUGUGUGAAGAAGGCCUUCGGGUUGUAAAGCACUUUCGGAGGGGAGGAAGUAAAUGACGUUACCCUCAGAAGAAGCACCGGCUAACUCCGUGCCAGCAGCCGCGGUAAUACGGAGGGUGCAAGCGUUAAUCGGAAUAACUGGGCGUAAAGGGCAUGCAGGCGGUUCAUCAAGUAGGAUGUGAAAUCCCCGGGCUCAACCUGGGAACAGCAUACUAAACUGGUGGACUAGAGUAUUGCAGGGGGAGACGGAAUUCCAGGUGUAGCGGUGGAAUGCGUAGAUAUCUGGAAGAACACCAAAGGCGAAGGCAGUCUCCUGGGCAAAUACUGACGCUCAUAUGCGAAAGCGUGGGUAGCAAAC
rnacentral:rRNA from 1 species